rnacentral:rRNA from 1 species
UACGGGGGGGGCAAGCGUUGUUCGGAAUUACUGGGCGUAAAGGGCGCGUAGGCGGCCAACUAAGUCGGAUGUGAAAUCCCCAGGCUCAACUUGGGAACUGCAUCCGAUACUGGUCGGCUUGAAUCCGGGAGAGGGAUGCAGAAUCCCAGGUGUAGCGGUGAAAUGCGUAGAUAUCUGGAGGAAUACCGGUGGCGAAGGCGGCAUCCUGGACCGGCAUUGACGCUGAGGAGCGAAAGCGUGGGGAGCGAACAGG